rnacentral:lncRNA from 1 species
UUUAAAGGAGUGGUCGCGCCGCCUCGCUCACCCAUUUGCCGCGCCGCGUGUGUCCGCCGCCAUGGAGUUUGAGUACCAGAGCACGAUCGUGCACCAGGGGGUGCUGUUCUACAUCGCCGACGGCGGGGACCGCGCGUACUUUGUGCACGGGGGCUGCAUCGUGUCCGUGCACCGGCGCUCGCGGGAGAUCGGCAAGUUCGGGCUCACGCUGCGCGGGAACGCGCCGGGGAACCGCGUCGUCGCCAACUACGUGCGCACGGAGCUGGCGCGCCUCGGCCGCGCGUGGGCCGCCCCGCAGGGGAGCGACGACGUCUUCGUGGACGCCCUGGGGCUGCUGCUGCCGCUGACGGAGCUGGACCUCUGCGGCCGCGCGGAGCUGGACGUGUACGACCCCUACCUCGUCGAGUGCAUGGUCUCGCUGCCGGCGUCGGCGCUCUCGCUGACGCUCGUGCACGACCGCCAGCAGGACCGCGUCCUGGAGCUCCUGGCCGGGCCCGCCAUCGUGCACCCCUCCUCGGGCUUCGUGUACGCCGUGAACGAGGCCUGCUUCGCCCUGGUGCAGGCGUACCUCUCCGAGCUGCCCAGCUCGCUGCAGGUGCUGACGGAGGGGCUCUUUGACGGCAUCCCCGGCGUGCGCCCCCCGCUCAGCGGCGAGACGCGGCCCACGGCCGUGGUGGUGAAGGGCGGGCGCGCGGCCCCCACGCUGAGCGUGCGCCCGCGCCGGUACGCCGAGCGCGCGCUGCGCGCGACGGUGGUCAGCGACUUUGUGCAGGUGCGCUACAUCCCGGCGACGCGGCGCAUCUGGGCGACGCGCGGCGGGAGCCUGUCCCUGCAGAUGCUCUGCGACCUCGUGGCCGGGGCGGACGCCAUCCUGCGGCGGGCCGCGUGCGCCUCGGACGACGCCUCGGCCGCCGUGGUCGAGGCCGUGUCCGCCGUCGCGGCGGACCCCUUCUUCGGGACGGGCUCCACGUCGCUCACGGGCGCGCAGCGGUUCGCGCUGUACCAGUUCAUCCUGGCCCGCUGGCACCUGCCGAGCUGCUACGCCGCGCUGGAGGGUAUGCUCGACACGCUGGACGAGCGCCCCGGGGCGGGCGCGGGCGACGACGAGGACGGCGGCGAGGGGGGAGGCGGCGGAGGCAACGGCAACGGCGACGGCGGCGCCUCUCGGGCCGCGAGCGCCGUGGCCCACGCCGUCAACCGCGUGCUGCGCGAGGCGACCGUCUUCGGCGAGGUGAUGCGGAUGCUCGUGAACGCCGCCGUGGUGCACGCCCCCGCGCUCGCGCCCAUCGUCUCCGCGGCCCCGGCGGGGGCCUCACCGCCGACGACGAAGCACGCCCGGGAGGACGCGGCGACGGGCCUGGAGCUGGCGGUCAUGAUGAGCGACGCGGAGGCGAACGCGCCGGCGCCCGGCGUGUGCGAGCUGGUGGAGGCGGCCGGGGCGCGGGUGCUGGACGGGCUCUACGCCGGCCGGGGCCUCGUCGCCGCGACCGCGCCCGUGGGCCGCGCGCUGCGGCUCACGUCCGCCGUCUGCGCCGAGGCGGCGCUCCUGACCGCCUUCGGCGACUCGCCCGCGGCCCUCCGCGGGGCCCAGUACCUGUUUCAGCUGUUUCGGGCGCGCCUGGCCCGCGCCAACAUCUCCAUCGUCCUCAAUAAAAACCGUUAAACAAAUCACACGUCCGUUCUCCCGUCCGUCUCUGUCCGCGGCACACACACGCGUGCGCGCGCACGCGCGCCUCGGCGGGUUCCCCCGUCCCCCGUUUCCCGUUCCCCCCCCCCCACACACACGCGCGCGCCCAACCCCCGCUCGCACCCAGCCCCCCGACGCGCCACGGUCCGCACACCCCGAUCGUCCCGGUCCCCGAUCCCCGCAACUCCCGCAUACCCGCGCGUGCGUGAGCGCCUCCCCUCCAUCGUGGCGAGGACGCGGCCCCAUCGUCGCCCGGUCGGGGGAGAAGGGGGUGAGGGAGAGGACACGCGACGAUGGGCGGGGCUCGGCACGAGAGGGGAUUCCCGGCCGCUCGCCUCCACCCGCGCAUGCGCAGACGCCAUCGUCCCGGCGCGGUCUCGACGCCGCGCGGCGCCCGGAGAGCAGAGUCCCGCGCCCCGGGCCGGGCUCCCCGGCGGGACGGCCCGGGUGGAACCCGCGUCGGCCGAAGAAAAUAUUGAUGGAUUAUCGGCAAAAUAUCGGCCCGGUGAUCGAUCCGGGCGGAGCUAUUGGAAACUCGGUCACAUGGGCAAAUCCGAGGAAAAUGAUUGGGCCACGUCACGUUCGCACCAAUUGCUAAUAUAUAUAGGAUAUAAUAUUUUAUAUACAACAAGUGCGAACGCCGAAAAAUUCGCACAUACCAACCAUUCAUGAAUAUUCAUGAGGUGUGGGUAUAAAAGACCGGGGAGCCGGAGCCCGGCGCCACAACCCGGAGCGCCGCCGUCGCCGCUGGAUCCCCCGGACCAGGAUCGUCGUGGGACCGCCGGAUCGUCGCCGCCGCGAGGACCGCGAGCCGAACCGCCGCCGGACCGCCGUCGCUCGGACCCGCCGUCCCGUCGAAUCCAGGCCCGCGGGCCCCACGGAUCCCCCGGUCCACGGCGGACGGAUCGCGGCCUCGGCGCGGCGCACCGGCAAGCGGCAGACACUUUAACUCUUGAACAAAGUUUUCAAUAAACCCGGGUACAACG